rnacentral:rRNA from 1 species
GACGAACGCUGGCGGCGUGCCUAAUACAUGCAAGUCGAACGAGUGGCGGACGGGUGAGUAAUGUAUGGGGACUGCCCGAUAGAGGGGGAUAACUACUGGAAACGGUAGCUAAUACCGCAUACUAUCGGAUAACCCAUAUGGGAUUAGCUAGUAGGUGAGGUAAUGGCUCACCUAGGCCACGAUCCCUAGCGGGUCUGAGAGGAUGAUCAGCCACACUGGGACUGAGACACGGCCCAGACGCCUACGGAGGCAGCAGUGGGGAAUAUUGCACAAUGGGCGCAAGCCUGAUGCAGCCAUGCCGCGUGUAUGAAGAAGGCCCUAGGGUUGUAAAGUACUUUCAGUCGGGAGGCGUUACCGACAGAAGAAGCACCGGCUAACUCCGUGCCAGCAGCCGCGGUAAUUC